AACGAACGCUGGCGGCAUGCCUAACACAUGCAAGUCGAACGAAACCUUCGGGUCUUUGCGCGCACGUCGUCGUAAGCCGUGGGAAGCUUCCCUUAGGUUCGGCAUACCUCCCCGAAAGGGGUGCUAAUGCGGGAUAAGGUCUUCUGACCAAAGAUUUAUGGCCUUGGGAUGGGCCGUCGUUGGAUUCGCUGGUUGUUAGGGUAAAAGCCUACUAAGGCGACGAUCCACAGCUGGUCACAGAGGCUGGUCACCCACUCUGGGAGUGAGACACGGCCCGGAAUCCUACGGGAGGCAGGAGAGGGGAACAGAGGAAAGUGGGGGAAGGCCUGAUGCAGCACUGCUGGGUGAGCGAUGAAGGCAUUAGGGAUGAAAAGUUCUAUUAACCGGGAUGAUAAUGACAGUACCGGGAGAAUAAGCCACGGCUAACUACGUG
rnacentral:rRNA from 1 species